rnacentral:snoRNA from 1 species
CCAUCUGAUGAACUCGAAUUAUUUCGCUGUGUUCUUACCGAGUCUUGACUUUGAAGACUACUAUCAUCUUGGAGACCUGAUAC